rnacentral:rRNA from 1 species
CCUACGGGUGGCAGCAGUGGGGAAUAUUGGACAAUGGGCGAAAGCCUGAUCCAGCCAUGCCGCGUGUGUGAAGAAGGCGUUCGGGUUGUAAAGCACUUUCAGUUGGGAAGAAAGCCUUGGGGCUAAUACCCUCGAGGAAGGACAUCACCCACAGAAGAAGCACCGGCUAACUCCGUGCCAGCAGCCGCGGUAAUACGGAGGGUGCGAGCGUUAAUCGGAAUUACUGGGCGUAAAGCGCGCGUAGGCGGUCUGAUAAGCCGGUUGUGAAAGCCCCGGGCUCAACCUGGGAACGGCAUCCGGAACUGUCAGGCUAGAGUGCAGGAGAGGAAGGUAGAAUUCCCGGUGUAGCGGUGAAAUGCGUAGAGAUCGGGAGGAAUACCAGUGGCGAAGGCGGCCUUCUGGACUGACACUGACGCUGAGGUGCGAAAGCGUGGGUAGCAAACAGGAUUAGAUACCCGUGUAGUC